UACGAAGGGGGGCUAGCGUUGCUCGGAAUUACUGGGCGUAAAGCGCACGUAGGCGGAUUGUUAAGUCGGGGGUGAAAUCCUGGAGCUCAACUCCAGAACUGCCUUCGAUACUGUAGAGCUUGACGUUGUCGGGAGAGGUGAGUGGAACUGCGAGUGUAGAGGUGAAAUUCGUAGAUAUUCGCAAGAACACCAGUGGCGAAGGCGGCUCAC
rnacentral:rRNA from 1 species